rnacentral:tRNA from 1 species
UGCGCCCGUAGCUCAACUGGAUAGAGCGCUUGACUACGAAUCAAAAGGUUGGGUGUUCGAAUCACCCCGGGCGCAU